CCCUUAGAUGUCCUGGGCCGCACGCGCGCUACAAUGACACGUUCAACAAGUACUUUCCUGGCUUGGAAAAGUUUCGGGUAAUCUUUAUAAUACGUGUCGUGCUGGGGAUUGAUCUUUGGAAUUAUAGAUCUUGAACGAGGAAUUCCUAGUAAGCAUAAGUCAUCAGCUUGUGCUGAUUACGUCCCUGCCCUUUGUACACACCGCCCGUCGCUCCUACCGAUUUUGAGUGAUCCGGUGAACCUUUUGGACUGCGGUGUCUUCAUGACACUCGUGGGAAGUUAAGUAAACCUUAUCACUUAGAGGAAGGAGAAGUCGUAACA
rnacentral:rRNA from 1 species